rnacentral:rRNA from 1 species
GCGAGUGGCGACGGGUGAGUAAUAUAUCGGAACGUGCCCAUUAGUGGGGGAUAGCCCGGCGAAAGCCGGAUUAAUACCGCAUACGACCUGAGGGUGAAAGCGGGGGAUCGCAAGACCUCGCGCUAUUGGAGCGGCCGAUAUCAGAUUAGCUAGUUGGUGGGGUAAAAGCCUACCAAGGCAACGAUCUGUAGUUGGUCUUAGAGGACGACCAGCCACACUGGGACUGAGACACGGCCCAGACUCCUACGGGAGGCAGCAGUGGGGAAUUUUGGACAAUGGGCGCAAGCCUGAUCCAGCAAUGCCGCGUGCAGGAAGAAGGCCUUCGGGUUGUAAACUGCUUUUGUCAGGGAAGAAAUCCUUUGGGUUAAUACCUCGAAGGGAUGACGGUACCUGAAGAAUAAGCACCGGCUAACUACGUGCCAGCAGCCGCGGUAAUACGUAGGGUGCGAGCGUUAAUCGGAAUUACUGGGCGUAAAGCGUGCGCAGGCGGCUUUGCAAGACAGAGGUGAAAUCCCCGGGCUCAACCUGGGAACUGCCUUUGUGACUGCAAGGCUAGAGUACGGCAGAGGGGGAUGGAAUUCCGCGUGUAGCAGUGAAAUGCGUAGAUAUGCGGAGGAACACCGAUGGCGAAAGCAAUCCCCUGGGCCUGUACUGACGCUCAUGCACGAAAGCGUGGGGAGCAAACAGGAUUAGAUACCCU